rnacentral:rRNA from 1 species
AUAAACUAUGCCUGCCAGCGAUCCGCCGAAGUUCCUCCGAUGACUCGGCGGGCAGCUUCCGGGAAACCAGAGCUUUUGGGUUCCGGGGGAAGUAUGGUUGCAAAGCUGAAACUUAAAGGAAUUGACGGAGGGGCACCACCAGGAGUGGAGCCUGCGGCUUAAUUUGACUCAACACGGGAAAACUCACCAGGCCCGGACACCGGAAGGAUUGACAGAUUGAGAGCUCUUUCUUGAUUCGGUGGGUGGUGGUGCAUGGCCGUUCUUAGUUGGUGGAGCGAUUUGUCUGGUUAAUUCCGAUAACGAACGAGACUCUAGCCUACUAACUAGGCGUACCCGGUAUCCACAAUCGUGCUACCGGCGAACUAACUUCUUCUUAGAGGGACAGGCGGCUUCUAGCCGCACGAGACUGAGCAAUAACAGGUCUGUGAUGCCCUUAGAUGUCCUGGGCCGCACGCGCGCUACACUGAAGGAAUCAGCGUGUCUUCCCUGUCCGAAAGGACCGGGUAACCCGCUGAACCUCCUUUGUGCUAGGGAUUGGGGCUUGCAAUUGUUUCCCAUGAACGAGGAAUUCCCAGUAAGCGUGAGUCAUAAGCUCGCGUUGAUUACGUCCCUGCCCCUUGUACACACCGCCCGUCGCUACUACCGAUUGAAUGAUUUAGUGAGGUCUUCGGACUGGUGCGCGGUGGCCGUUAUGCGGCACCCGAUGUUGCCGGAAAGAUGACCAAACUUGAUCAUUUAGAGGAAGUAAAAGUCGUAACAAGGUUU